UUUACCCCCGAAUGCAAGUUUAAAGAAUCUGUUUUUGAAAACUAUUAUGUAAUCUACUCAUCUAUGCUGUACAGACAACAGGAAUCUGGUAGAGCCUGGUUUUUGGGUUUGAAUAAAGAAGGGCAAGUUAUGAAAGGAAACAGAGUAAAGAAAACCAAACCAGCAGCUCAUUUUCUACCCAAGCCAUUGGAAGUUGCCAUGUACCGAGAACCAUCUUUGCAUGACGUUGGAGAAACGGUCCCGAAGGCCGGGGUGACGCCGAGUAAAAGCACAAGUGCGUCUGCAAUAAUGAAUGGAGGCAAACCAGUCAACAAAAGUAAGACGACAUAGCCCGAUCCUCACAGGUGUUGUGACUUACUCGUCCCGAGCACAGUUGAGUGAUUAUCCUUGCCAGACAUUCCUGCUCCGUGGCUGAGGAGCAGCUGGAAGUAAGCAGAUGCUUGCUCUUUGCUGUCUCGAACUUCUUGGUUGCAAGUGGAUAAAUCUCAACCUGUUGCACCCCCCACAACAAGAAGACACCUGGAUAACCAGCUAAACUCAGACCAUGGAAUGCCCUACCAGAUAUGGAAUGCCUUUUUAAUAUCUUUUCUGUGACUGUGACACUUCAUGUGAAUGACAUACUUCACAAGUACACUCGAUACUUUGCCUGCUGACAGCUACCCAUAAUCCUUUUUGAGUCCUGUUUCAGCGAAAUCCAUGUGUUUAAGUUCAAUUUUGUAGCACACAAAUACUAUUGAGUAAUUUCUAGUUAGACGCUGUAAACCUGUGCUAUUAUGGAUUUCUCUUCUUCCCGUUUUUACAGGGCUGCUCGCUCCACUGUCUGUGAUAUUUUGCAGGGAUUGUGUUUCUCUAAAUCGUAAAGGUUGCAGUUGGCUUGGUUUGGAGAGCGAUCAGGGAAUCAGGAAGUCUUCUAAACCUAUUAUUACAAAUUGCAUCUAUAAAGAUUAUGAGUGUUGUCUCCGGAUCCCUCUAUCGAUUAAACACACAUAUAUGCUCUAUCCAGUAGCAGAUCCUGUGCUCCUGAGGUGGCCAGGGUGAGAAAUGGGUCAAACACAGUCCAUGGGAAGCUCUCUACAAUAUGUGUUUGACAUUCCCCUAUAGUUUCUUUGUGUGUGUGUGUGUUUUCUACAUAUCACAAGCUUACUGGUAAUGGUAACAUUUGCCUUGCCCAGCGAGCAAGACCCACUGGUUUUUGAGAAAGUGGGUCCAAAGAACUCUGUAGGCCUUGUAGGCCUGAUUAAGGUUCAUUUUUCAUCUACUAAUCCUCACUAUUUGGAAAAAAAGAAAAAAAAAAAAGGAAAAAUCAAUAAGUACAACCUAGAAGAAUUGCGCUACCUAAAUCCAUUUCAGAUAUAAUCCUUCCUGUUUUUAAUGAACCGAACUUAAUGCCAUCCCCAGUUUUGGCUGCAUUCCACUCACACUCGGCAGAGCAUGGGCAAGGCGCCUGUUGUGUUCUCUUCUGCAGCAGCAAUGCAAACGUUAGUUAUAAAUUAGACUUUAAUAUUUUUGGUGUUUAAUGACAAGUUUUUAAACUGGACAUAUUAGGAAAAAAUAUUUUUUUUAGCUCAGCAUGCUGAGUCAGGUACUGUGUUUUCACCAGUCCAUACCUCUAACUCAGCUUCUCGGGGCCCAGGCUGCCCAACGGCUGGGGUAGAGGUGCCUUGCCAUCAUCUCAGAAUGCAGUCUGUUGAAUUCUUCUAGAUAAAAUUAAAGGCAAACCAACACAUUCAAACAUCAGGUUUUUGGUCCAUUCAAUUGAUUUGCUUUUGUUUUAUUUUGCUUUCUUAAUUUCCUUUUGAAUAACUCUGAGCUUAGGGAAGACAACUACUAAGAAAGGCCAUGAACAGUUGACUAGGCAGUGAAGAAACCAUGCAAAAUGUUCAAUGUUGGAUAUAAAGAGUUUCAAGAUGUUUAAUACUGAACUGUUUGGAAAUAUAUUUGUUAACUCUGUGUACUUAAUAAAAUUCAAUGUUUUAUCCUCAGAAGAGUUGAGACCAAACUGAACCUCAUUUAUAGAAAGCUAUAUGUGAGAUCAAUGUACUGGCCUCUUGUUCUUAUUUCCAUGUGGAAGGCCUCCCUGUCUUCCCCCACCUGCACUGUGUUUACUGGGAAAUUAUUUUGUCAUUGGUUUCCUAAGUCUACAUGACAGCCCCUGCCCAGCAUUUAAAAAUUUUGGCCUGCUUAGCUGAUUAAAGAUUUAGUAUAAAUUUAA